GCUUGGGUGGCUCAGUUGGUUGAGCAUCCGACUUCGGCUCAGGUCAUGAUCUCACAGUUUGUGGGUUCGAGCCCCACGUUGGGCU
rnacentral:tRNA from 1 species